GGUAACUGCAGCAACUUGUUCCUUCAUGAUCUUCUUUUCAUCUACCAUGUCUGCAUUUCAAUGCUUACUUUCCAGCAUGGAGCAAGCAGACACCGUCCUUAUCUUUGCAGCGAUAUGCUUUGUUGCUUCGCUUCUCGGAUUGAUGGUAGUAAAAAGAACUAUAAAAGAAUAUGGCAGGGCUUCUAUGAUUGUGUUCUUAGUUGGUAUUGUGAUGGCAUUGCGUACGGUUCUCAUAACCAGCUUUGAAUCCAUUGACGUGUGGAGAGAGUAUAAAUCGGGCAAAAACAUAGGCUUUAAAUUUCCCUGUUGAAAAUAAACAGGAACUUGGUUUCUCGAGUGGCUAGCUCCAUAUGAAAACGAGCAGAACUGCCUCUCAUAUAUAUGUGAAGCAGCAUUUCACAUACUAAUUAUCCUGUUGGGGGUGGUGGUUCAUAAGGCUGGAAGAUAAUAGCCAAAGCUGACAUUUUGUCGCGGGAGCUUCCCUCAUUCCUUUUAUCAAGUAUAAUGAUGUGAAUUAGCUAUAAUUUGGGUUAUAAUAUGCGAUGUCCUUAUUUUGCCACAGAUCCAUUGGAGCAUGGAAAAUAGUCAAGGUAAAUGCCCUAAAUAUUAUUAUUACUACUAUUAUACAA
rnacentral:misc_RNA from 1 species